GAUGAACGCUGGCGGCGUGCCUAACACAUGCAAGUCGAGCGAUUCUCUUCGGAGAAGAGCGGCGGACGGGUGAGUAACGCGUGGGUAACCUGCCCUGUACACACGGAUAACAUACCGAAAGGUAUGCUAAUACGGGAUAAUAUAAGAAAUUCGCAUGUUUUUCUUAUCAAAGCUCCGGCGGUACAGGAUGGACCCGCGUCUGAUUAGCUAGUUGGUGAGGUAACGGCUCACCAAGGCGACGAUCAGUAGCCGACCUGAGAGGGUGAUCGGCCACAUUGGAACUGAGACACGGUCCAAACUCCUACGGGAGGCAGCAGUGGGGAAUAUUGCACAAUGGGCGAAAGCCUGAUGCAGCAACGCCGCGUGAGCGAUGAAGGCCUUCGGGUCGUAAAGCUCUGUCCUCAAGGAAGAUAAUGACGGUACUUGAGGAGGAAGCCCCGGCUAACUACGUGCCAGCCGCCGCUGUAACAC
rnacentral:rRNA from 1 species